rnacentral:rRNA from 1 species
GUGAGGAAUAUUGGUCAAUGGGCGCGAGCCUGAACCAGCCAAGUAGCGUGAGGGAUGACUGCCCUAUGGGUUGUAAACCUCUUUUGCAGGGGGGUAAAGUGGUUCACGUGUGGACCAUUGCAAGUACCCUGCGAAUAAGGAUCGGCUAACUCCGUGCCAGCAGCCGCGGUAAUACGGAGGAUCCGAGCGUUAUCCGGAUUUAUUGGGUUUAAAGGGAGCGUAGGCGGGGGUUUAAGUCAGCUGUGAAAUGCCGUGGCCCAACCAGGGAACUGCAGUUGAAACUGGACCUCUUGAGAGUACAUAAGGAAGGCGGAAUUCGUGGUGUAGCGGUGAAAUGCAUAGAUAUCACGAAGAACUCCGAUUGCGAAGGCAGCUUUCCGGGGUACAUCUGACGCUGAAGCUCGAAAGUGCGGGAAUCAAACAGGAUUAGAAACCCCAGUAGUCC